CUGCUUUUUAAUAUGCUAUCUAGGUUGAUCAUAACUUUCCUUCCAAGGAGUAAGCAUCUUUUAACUUCAUGGCUGCAGUGACCAUCUGCAGUGAUUUUGGAGCCCCCUCCUCCCAAAAUAAAAGUCUGACACUGUUUCCACUAUUUCCCCAUCUAUUUCCCAUGAAGUGAUAGGACCAGAUGGCAUGAUCUUAGUUUUUGAAUGUUGAGCUUUAAGCCAACUUUUUCACUCUCCUCUUUCACUUUCAUCAAGAGGUUUUUUAGUUCCUCUUCACUUUCUGCCAUAUGGGUGGUAUCAUCUGCAUAUCUGAGGUUAUUGAUAUUUCUCCUGGCAAUCUUGAUUCCAGCUUGUGCUUCUUCCAGCCCAGCGUUUCUCAUAAUGUACUCUGUAUAUAAGUUAAAUAAGCAGGGUGACAAUAUACAGCCUUGACUCCUUUUCCUAUGUGGAACCAGUCUGUUGUUCCAUGUCCAGUUCUAACUGUUGCUUCCUGACCUGCAUACAGAUUUCUCAAGAGGCAGAUCAGGUGGUCUGGUAUUCCCAUCUCUUUCAGAAUUUUCCACAGUUUGUUGUGAUCCACACGGUCAAAGGCUUUGGCAUAGUCAAUAAAGCAGGAAUAGAUGUUUUUCUGGAACUCUCUUGCUUUUUCCAUGAUCCAGCGGAUGUUGGCCAUUUGAUCUCUGGUUCCUCUGCCUUUCCUAAAACCAGCUUGAACAUCUGGAAGUUCACAGUUCACGUAUUGCUGAAGCCUGGCUUGGAGAAUUUUGAGCAUUACUUUACUAGCGUGUGAGAUGAGUUCAAAGUUCAACUAUGCAGUAGUUUGAGCAUUCUUUGGCAUUGCCUUUCUUUGGGAUUGGAAUGAAAACUGACCUCUUCCAGUCCUGGAUGUCUUAGAGAACAUGAAACAUUAGGGAUGGGUCUGUGCUACAGUCUCAGUUGGAGAUUAGUAACCUGGGGUCCCUGGACUUUCCCCAAUGGCUCUCUGAAUAUGAAUGGGAAAAAUGAUAUGUUUAUUGCUAUUAACCUUAAAGUCAUAAAGUCAAAUUUAGUACUUCCUUCCACUGUGAAUAUAGGCAACAAAUCACAGUAGAAUUAGCAGUGCUUUUGAGAAUAGAAACCACAGGUACAUUCAUAUCACAUCCAGCUGUCACAGACAUCUCAAAAUACCAUUUACAUUCAUUACUAAUUCAAUAGUUACUUUACCCACCAUUGGAUCUUGUUGUUGAAUGCAUUAAUAAAAAUGCACAUAUAUUACCGUAUCUUAACUUUCAUUAGUAUUUUUAUGACUAUAUUUAACAUAUGUGGUUUCCUCUGUAUUUAGUUUUAUUUGCAGUGUCUCUCCAGGUGUCCAGAAAACUCUGGAAGAAAACUGGCCCCUGGAAGAAAUGAUCAGUAGCCCAAGGAUUUCUGGUCACAGCGCUGUGCAGAGAUCUUCCAGUGUUCCUCAGGAGGCCAUCCUGUCUCCAUCUGUCAUAACCAGGGCUGUUCCCAGUACAUCAGUGAGCAUCAGGAAAAUAUUAAAUGCUCCUUAACUGGUCAGGUACUCCAGAAGCAGGACCAAGAUGGAGUGUGCGCUAUGAAGACUAACCAGUCGGUGCGUCUGGGAAAAGUGUAAAAAGGAGGCAGAAUCACUGUCUUGAAGGGAGGAGGGCUUCAAGAGCCUUCCACAUGGCCUUUCCCAUGACAGCUCUUAACCCUGCAGACCAAGGACUUGAUGUGGGAGUUACACCAAUUGCCAAGGCAGUGGAAAGAAGAACCUGAUGAACAGACUUCAGGGACUACCUUGGGAGGGAGGCACCUAGUUUUGACCAUCCACCAUGGCAUCACAAGCAAAAGAGAAGAAAUUCACUAAAGGGAAGUCAGAAUGAUAUUAAAAUGGCAGAAUGAAUGCUGGGAGGCUGGAUGCCACACACCCACAUACAACACUUAUGCAAACAUACCUACAUAGGGUUAUUGAAAUGGAAUACACGUAUUUUUGCUCUGUCAACAAGAUUAAUUCUGUUGUGUGAGUGGCAGAAAAUCCAAAAUGGUAAUAAUAUAAACAAGAUAAUUUAUUACUCUAUUAUGUAAACAAAGUUUGGAGGUAACUCAGGGCUGUUUUAGAUAGUACUCAUGGUGUAGGGAUCAAGGUUCCUUUAUCUUGUGGUUCC
ensembl:lncRNA